AAGGAUCAUUAACGAAUAUCUAUGGCGUUGGUUGUAGCUGGCUCCUAGGAGCAUUGUGCACGCCCGUCAUUCAUAUCAUCUUUCCACCUGUGAACCAUGUGUAGGCCUGGAUACCCCUCGCUUUGGCAACAAAGCGGAUGCAAGGAUUGCUGCGUCGACAAGGCCGGCUCUCUUUGAAUUUCCAGGUUCUAUGUCUUUUACACACCCCAUUCGAAUGAUUUAGAAUGUAGUCAAUGGGCUUUCAUGCCUAUAAAAAACUAUACAACUUUCAGCAACGGAUCUCUUGGCUCUCGCAUCGAUGAAGAACGCAGCGAAAUGCGAUAAGUAAUGUGAAUUGCAGAAUUCAGUGAAUCAUCGAAUCUUUGAACGCACCUUGCGCUCCUUGGUAUUCCGAGGAGCAUGCCUGUUUGAGUGUCAUUAAAUUCUCAACCUCACCAGUUUUGUAACGAGACAGGUGAAGGCUUGGAUGUGGGGGUUUUGCAGGCUGCCUCAGUGCUGGUCUGCUCCCCUGAAAUGCAUUAGCGAGCUCAUAUUGAGCUUCCGUCUAUUGGUGUGAUAAUUAUCUACGCCGUGGAUUGGACUCAUGCUUGCUUCUAGCCGUCCGCAAGGACAAUUUACUUGACCAAUUUGACCUCAAAUCAGGUAGGACUACCCGCUGAACUUAA
rnacentral:rRNA from 1 species